AUUUUUCGCUUUUUUAUUACGAAAAUUGAACUGGGUUUGAUGGAUUCAUUUUGAUUUUUUACUUCUAUGUGAUUUCUUAUAUUGAUUCAUUUCCACUUGAUUCUUGAUCUUCCGUUUUGUUUCUGGCUCUAAUUUAUUUACAUUUUGUUCGCAAUUCAAGUGAGAAAGAAAAUUAUUUAUUUACCUGGUGAAGUUAUGACCUCGAAUACUCCGUCAUCAAGUGCUGGGGAAAAUGAAUCAAUGGAUUCAGUAGCUCCCACAAUUGUUUCAGUUCUUCGUUGGCUUUUGUUUUCACUCUCUUCAUCUUUCUUGUUAGAACAUAUAUAUCUUUUUGGUCUUGGCAAUGAUGUCAUAUUGUCACCUAUGCAUGGAUUUGAAAUUGUCAACCUGAUUAUUGAUGUGAAGCAUUGCCUAUAGGUUAGGAAAAAUUCGCUCAUUCGAGUCCUACAAUUUAAUUUGUUAGAUUCUUUUUUCCCUUCUAAGUAAACAUUUUCUAUCUUCUAAGGUUUUAAAAUUAUAUUAGUAUAUUAUUAAUUGUUUAGGUCUUUUGCAAGCAUUUCUGGGGGUUGCAAAAGAUCUUAAUGCUAUUGUGAUUGCACUCAGAGGGACUCCGGAGAGCAGUUUUGGCCUAUAUUGGUUCUUCAUGUUUUUAUCAAUUCUAUGAUUACACAUUUUACCUCAAAUUUGAUGCUUGAAUUAAAGUGUUUCAGUACUAACUUCUUUUAUGAAUUGAGUAAAAACACGAAGCUGGUUUCACUCCCUGCCUUAAUAUGCAUCAUCUUUAUGAUGCCCUAGGGCUCAAGCUUCGGAGUGUUGCUAAAACUUAGUUAAGCGUUUCAAGUAUGAAACAUAAAGGAAAAUCAUAUGGGAUUAUCAAAAAUAAAUGACUAAUGUCAUUAAUAAUAAUAAACUAACUUUUUUAAAACAAAGUCAUGAAUUCAAUAAAUUUUGACAUAAAAGAAAAAAUACUUCGAUGAUAAUCACUUAAAUUCAUGAAAAAAAAAUACAAAAUACAAAAUCCCAUCAAUUUGUUUUCAUACUUGAUCUGAUUCGGGAUCAUUCCAACACUAGCCAACAAUAAAGCUUUCAGAGUAACUUUGAUGCUUGUAGCAUCAUUCCUUUCCUUCCACUCUUCAAUUAUUGCCUUUAGAGCCACAUCGACAAUCAAAUAUGUGUUUUUUAGUUUCAAUCCACAUUUUAUCUUAUACGUGCUUCUUGUUUUUCGAGAGAUUGUUUUAGAUAAUUUCAUCUUUCUUUUUUUCCCCCUUUAAAGCCAGUUAGGCAGAUUGCUAUGUUCGCUAAGACUAUUUUCCAUACUUUUUCAUUGCAAGUGGUUCGCUAUAAAUUUGGUAUCUUAGACAUUUUGAUAACAAUUGUUCUUGCAACAACAGGUAUGUGAUGUGUGCAUAAAACUAUAUGCAUGGUACACUUCCAAAUUAGUUUAUAUUUGAUCCUCGAAAUCUUAUUUAUUGAUAAAUGUUCUAUAGCCACAGAAAAGAGAGUUGAUAAAUUAAAUCAAGAGCGGUGUCUAUGACAUUAACUGGUACAUCAUCCCAAGUUCUGCUGGUGCAGCAAAGGUAUACAACAAUCUCCAUUUGAAAAAUUUAUUAAUCUGUAAAUUUUUUGCUGAUCCGUUUAAGCAGAUAUAAUCGACCUAUGGUUUGUGUAUAGUGUGCCUAUGCUUCUUUUUUUGGUGGUCCAUGUCAAUUGUGAUACUGCAAUAAGUACACAUGGGAGGGAGAGAACUUUCCAUAAAUAUUUUUAAAAUAGAAUGUUCUCAUUCAUAUUGCUUUUGAGUUAUUUAGUCUUUUUUACAACAUGAUUUUUAGAUGAGAUGGUCAUACAAUCAUUCAAUAAAAAUGUAAACGUCUAUUUAGUUUGUUUGUGCUCUUUACCAUGCAGAAUGAAUGUUUAAACUAAAGUGGAGAGGUAGCUUUUCAAGAUCAAAUUUUAGAUCCCUAUUUUCUGAACUACUAGAUUAUAAAACAUUGGCUUCUAAAUGUUUGUACUUUCCUAUAUUUACAAAUCAG
rnacentral:lncRNA from 1 species